UGGUAGUGUAUUGGACACCCAUGGCAGUCACGGGUAACGGGGAAUUAGGGUUCGAUUCCGGAGAGGGAGCCUGAGAAACGGCUACCACUUCUAAGGAAGGCAGCGGGCGCGUAAAUUACCCAAUCCUGAUUCAGGGAGGUAGUGACAAGAAAUACCAACUCGGAUCCCUCUGGGAUUGCGAGAUUGCAAUGAGAACAAUUUAAACCACUUAUCCAGUAACAAUUGGAGGGCAAGUCUGGUGCCAGCAGCCGCGGUAAUUCCAGCUCCAAUAGCGUAUAUUAAAGUUGUUGCAGUUAAAAAGCUCGUAGUUGAAUUUCUGGCCAAUCUUGUGCUGCGCUUGUAGCCGGUACGAGGUUUGGUCAUCCGUAAGGGAAGUUAGUACGAACUUCAAUGGUCGGGUAGGGGAACUUACAAUUUACUGUGAAAAAAUUAGAGUGUUUCAGGCAGGCAAUCGCUUGGAUACUCCAGCAUAUAAUAAUGGAAUAGGUCUUUGGUCGAUUUGUUGGUUUGAGAUCAAAGUAAUGAUUAAUAGGGACAGUUGGGGGCAUUCGUAUUUAAUUGUCAGAGGUGAAAUUCUUGGAUUUAUUAG
rnacentral:rRNA from 1 species